CCAGACUCCUACGGGAGGCAGCAGUGAGGAAUAUUGGUCAAUGGCCGGAAGGCUGAACCAGCCAAGCCGCGUGAAGGACGAAGGUGCCAAGCAUUGUAAACUUCUUUUGUCAAGGGACAAAAUCAGGCUCGAGAGCCUGACCGAGGGUACUUGAAGAAAAAGCAUCGGCUAACUCCGUGCCAGCAGCCGCGGUAAUACGGAGGAUGCGAGCGUUAUCCGGAUUUAUUGGGUGUAAAGGGUGCGUAGAUGGAUAAACAAGUUGGUUGUGAAAUCCCUCGGCUUAACUGAGGAAUUGCAACCAAAACUGUAGAUCUUGAGUACUGGAGGGGAAAGCGGAAUUCCUAGUGUAGCGGUGAAAUGCGUAGAUAUUAGGAAGAACACCGGUGGCGAAGGCGGCUUUCUGGACAGAAACUGACAUUGAGGCACGAAAGUGUGGGGAGCAAACAGGAUUAGAUACCCCCGUAU
rnacentral:rRNA from 1 species